CGACUUAUAUUCUGUAGCAAGGUUAACCGAAUAGGGGAGCCGAAGGGAAACCGAGUCUUAACUGGGCGUUAAGUUGCAGGGUAUAGACCCGAAACCCGGUGAUCUAGCCAUGGGCAGGUUGAAGGUUGGGUAACACUAACUGGAGGACCGAACCGACUAAUGUUGAAAAAUUAGCGGAUGACUUGUGGCUGGGGGUGAAAGGCCAAUCAAACCGGGAGAUAGCUGGUUCUCCCCGAAAGCUAUUUAGGUAGCGCCUCGUGAAUUCAUCUCCGGGGGUAGAGCACUGUUUCGGCAAGGGGGUCAUCCCGACUUACCAACCCGAUGCAAACUGCGAAUACCGGAGAAUGUUAUCACGGGAGACACACGGCGGGUGCUAACGUCCGUCGUGAAGAGGGAAACAACCCAGACCGCCAGCUAAGGUCCCAAAGUCAUGGUUAAGUGGGAAACGAUGUGGGAAGGCCCAGACAGCCAGGAUGUUGGCUUAGAAGCAGCCAUCAUUUAAAGAAAGCGUAAUAGCUCACUGGUCGAGUCGGCCUGCGCGGAAGAUGUAACGGGGCUAAACCAUGCACCGAAGCUGCGGCAGCGACACUGUGUGUUGUUGGGUAGGGGAGCGUUCUGUAAGCCUGUGAAGGUGUGCUGUGAGGCAUGCUGGAGGUAUCAGAAGUGCGAAUGCUGACAUAAGUAACGAUAAAGCGGGUGAAAAGCCCGCUCGCCGGAAGACCAAGGGUUCCUGUCCAACGUUAAUCGGGGCAGGGUGAGUCGACCCCUAAGGCGAGGCCGAAAGGCGUAGUCGAUGGGAAACAGGUUAAUAUUCCUGUACUUGGUGUUACUGCGAAGGGGGGACGGAGAAGGCUAUGUUGGCCGGGCGACGGUUGUCCCGGUUUAAGCGUGUAGGCUGGUUUUCCAGGCAAAUCCGGAAAAUCAAGGCUGAGGCGUGAUGACGAGGCACUACGGUGCUGAAGCAACAAAUGCCCUGCUUCCAGGAAAAGCCUCUAAGCAUCAGGUAACAUCAAAUCGUACCCCAAACCGACACAGGUGGUCAGGUAGAGAAUACCAAGGCGCUUGAGAGAACUCGGGUGAAGGAACUAGGCAAAAUGGUGCCGUAACUUCGGGAGAAGGCACGCUGAUAUGUAGGUGAAGUCCCUCGCGGAUGGAGCUGAAAUCAGUCGAAGAUACCAGCUGGCUGCAACUGUUUAUUAAAAACACAGCACUGUGCAAACACGAAAGUGGACGUAUACGGUGUGACGCCUGCCCGGUGCCGGAAGGUUAAUUGAUGGGGUCAGCGCAAGCGAAGCUCUUGAUCGAAGCCCCGGUAAACGGCGGCCGUAACUAUAACGGUCCUAAGGUAGCGAAAUUCCUUGUCGGGUAAGUUCCGACCUGCACGAAUGGCGUAAUGAUGGCCAGGCUGUCUCCACCCGAGACUCAGUGAAAUUGAACUCGCUGUGAAGAUGCAGUGUACCCGCGGCAAGACGGAAAGACCCCGUGAACCUUUACUAUAGCUUGACACUGAACAUUGAGCCUUGAUGUGUAGGAUAGGUGGGAGGCUUUGAAGUGUGGACGCCAGUCUGCAUGGAGCCGACCUUGAAAUACCACCCUUUAAUGUUUGAUGUUCUAACGUGGACCCGUGAUCCGGGUUGCGGACAGUGUCUGGUGGGUAGUUUGACUGGGGCGGUCUCCUCCUAAAGAGUAACGGAGGAGCACGAAGGUUGGCUAAUCCUGGUCGGACAUCAGGAGGUUAGUGCAAUGGCAUAAGCCAGCUUGACUGCGAGCGUGACGGCGCGAGCAGGUGCGAAAGCAGGUCAUAGUGAUCCGGUGGUUCUGAAUGGAAGGGCCAUCGCUCAACGGAUAAAAGGUACUCCGGGGAUAACAGGCUGAUACCGCCCAAGAGUUCAUAUCGACGGCGGUGUUUGGCACCUCGAUGUCGGCUCAUCACAUCCUGGGGCUGAAGUAGGUCCCAAGGGUAUGGCUGUUCGCCAUUUAAAGUGGUACGCGAGCUGGGUUUAGAACGUCGUGAGACAGUUCGGUCCCUAUCUGCCGUGGGCGCUGGAGAACUGAGGGGGGCUGCUCCUAGUACGAGAGGACCGGAGUGGACGCAUCACUGGUGUUCGGGUUGUCAUGCCAAUGGCACUGCCCGGUAGCUAAAUGCGGAAGAGAUAAGUGCUGAAAGCAUCUAAGCACGAAACUUGCCCCGAGAUGAGUUCUCCCUGACCCUUUAAGGGUCCUGAAGGAACGUUGAAGACGACGACGUUGAUAGGCCGGGUGUGUAAGCGCAGCGAUGCGUUGAGCUAACCGGUACUAAUGAACCGUGAGGCUUAACCUU
rnacentral:rRNA from 1 species